rnacentral:rRNA from 1 species
GUGGGGAAUUUUGCGCAAUGGGCGAAAGCCUGACGCAGCGACGCCGCGUGUGCGAUGAAGGCCUUUGGGUCGUAAAGCACUGUCAACCGGAACGAAAUCUUAUGGGUUAACACCCCAUGAGUUUGACUGUACCGGUGGAGGAAGCACCGGCUAACUCUGUGCCAGCAGCCGCGGUAAUACAGAGGGUGCAAACGUUGCUCGGAAUUAUUGGGCGUAAAGCGCGUGUAGGCGGUUCGUUAGGCUGACUGUGAAAUCCCACGGCUCAACCAUGGAAGUGCAGUCAGAACCGGCGGACUUGAGUUCCGAAGAGGAUGGUGGAAUUCCCAGUGUAGAGGUGAAAUUCGUAGAUAUUGGGAGGAACACCGGAGGCGAAGGCGGCCAUCUGGGAGGCGACUGACGCUGAGACGCGAAAGCAUGGGUAGCAAACAGGAUUAGAAACCCUAGUAGUCC